GGAGUUGUAGCUUAGUGGUAGAGCACUUGCCUCAUACGUGUGAAGCACUGGGUUCGAUUCCCAGCACCA
rnacentral:tRNA from 1 species